rnacentral:rRNA from 1 species
UGGGGAAUAUUGGACAAUGGGCGCAAGCCUGAUCCAGCCAUGCCGCGUGAGUGAUGAAGGCCCUAGGGUUGUAAAGCUCUUUCACCGGUGAAGAUAAUGACGGUAACCGGAGAAGAAGCCCCGGCUAACUUCGUGCCAGCAGCCGCGGUAAUACGAAGGGGGCUAGCGUUGUUCGGAUUUACUGGGCGUAAAGCGCACGUAGGCGGACUAUUAAGUGAGUGGUGGAAUCCCGGGGCUCAACCCCGGAACUGCCUUUGAUACUGGUAGUCUUGAGUACGAGAGAGGUGAGUGGAAUUCCGAGUGUAGAGGUGAAAUUCGUAGAUAUUCGGCGGAACACCAGUGGCGAAGGCGGCUCACUGGCUCGAUACUGACGCUGAGGUGCGAAAGCGUGGGGAGCAAACAGG